UCUUUAUAUAGAUAUUUUCUUAAAAUUUAAAGAAUUUGGCAGUAAUUUAGUCUAGCUAGAGGAAUUUGUAUAAUAAUUGAUAAACCUCGUUAAAUCUUACUUAUAUUAAAAAUUUGUAUAUCGUCAUUAGCAGAUUAUAUUUAGAAAUAAUUAUUUAUAUGGAAUUAAUCAUUAAAAUUAGAUCAUGGUGCAGUUUAUAUAUAAGAAUAUAUUAAUUACAAUAAUUUUAUUUAAAUUACGAAUUUUUAUAGGAAGUUAUAUAAUGAAGGUGGAUUUAGUUGUAUUAUAAAAAAUUAAUAAAGUUUUAAGAGAUAAGAUUUAAAUUGUGUACAC
rnacentral:rRNA from 1 species